rnacentral:lncRNA from 1 species
GGGUGAGAUCUGCUGCCCCCACAGCAUUUCUGGCAGGGUGUUUGGAGGACACAUAGAGAUGGAGCGCACAGCACCUUCUGCUUUCUCCUUUGUUGGCGUUCUUCAUGCUCAGCCCCAGGCAGUCCUGUGCUGCGACAUCCUACAGCUGCUGCUCCAAGUGAAGCCCCUACACUGAAGGUGGAGCAGCCCUGCUUCCUCCACUGAGCUAUAACAUCCUGCAGUGAGAGGCCAUGAUCAUCCUUCAAUCAAAGCGUGUCCCCCCGAUUUCUGGAACUCUUUGCAGCGCAAUGCAGGGGAUGAGGAGCAGCUGCAGCACCCCCAGCUUGAACGGGCUGCAUGCCCUGCUCCCUGUGUCCAGACAUCUGGCACCUGCACUUGGGGUGAGUUUUGCUCUCCCCCCGUUGGGCACCUCAUGUAGAAAGCAGCUCCCCACGGCAGGGAAAUAACCCACAAGCCCGCCAGGUUGUUCUCUUUUAUUUCUGAAUUAUUCUUUACAUUGUACAAUAUAUAAAAAUACAGAGUACCCCAAAAAAUUUCACAGUGUCUAAAGGCAGUGAUUACAGUCUAGGUCACCUUUAUACUAAAGUACCAUCGAGUUCAAUUGCAUAGGAAGGGUGAUGUGCCUCCACUGCAGAGUCCAGUGACACGCUCCAGGUUUUGCUGUUUGGGACAAGAGUUCCAAUCGCAUCCCCCCCCAGCCCUGUGCCUGUUGUGCCCCCACCUCCAUCACACACUUGGCCCCAUCUCACUCUUCACACACCCUGAAGCCUCUGUGGGAGUGGGGCUGCAGCCUCAUGGCGUUUGUGUUUCUCGCAAUGGGUUGGUUUCAAAGCAAAGCAGGAUGGGGACUCUGGAAAGCCAAAUGCUGCUCUUAAACUGUGCACCCACCUCCCAUGGCAGGAGUGGGUUUGCAGCUGAUGCAGAGCAGAAGCAGUGGCGCAAAGGGAGGAUUUCAGGGCAGUAGGGUUGAGGCUGGAUGACCCCACAAGGACCUGUUCCCCACGAGGGGGUUUUUGGUCACUUUUGAAGGCAAUCACACAGCACCAAAACCUGUGGGUCUGCUCACCCAGCCCAAACCUGCCCUUGCAGCCUUCUCUGGUUUUCUCCUUACAGGCUCAAAGGGAAGAAUCCCCCAUGAGUCCAGUCCCUGCUCAGAAGGGGCACCCAGCCAUAGGGUGCUGCCCCUGCACCACAGCCUUAUUUGGAGCCCUCUGAAACCAAAAGCCAUUGGUAUUCAGGGUUUCUUGACCCUAAAUUUUGCAUUAAACCUCCUUGCAUCCCUGUAAGGCAAGUCUCGUAAUGCUGAUCAAUAACUCAGAAAGCAAUUGCUAACUUCUUUAACACGGAAGAUGACGUCGUUCCAGUUCUAGUAGUUGAUAUCCUUUACUCUAAUGGUACAUUAUUUGUUACUCCUACUUGCUAUUUUAAUUUUCUUUGCACAAUUACUCCCUACUUAUAAUUACAAAAACAACAGAGUGAUGCACAUGAGAGAUUCAGGAGGCUUAUUCAGAAAAUAUAAGCAGUAACGAGAAUCCUUUACUCAGUCAUUCUUAACCAGAAUAAUUUAGGGGAGAAUCAACACUUCUAACUAGAAAAAUCAAUUUUCUUUUCAAUUAAAAAAUUAUAUUUCAUUUUCCCCAAAAGCAUAUUUUGUUACCCCCUAAUGGAAAGGACACUAGAUUUGUACUUUUCUUUUUCCUUCAGUUUGUCCCUGUGGCAUUUGAAUACCAGCACUGCCUUUCUUAUUUUAAGUUUCCUCUGCAGGCAUUUUGCUAUAUAUAUAUAUAUAGUGUGUGUGUGUGUGUGUGUGUA